UAGACACCCACAAUGCUUUAUGGAAGUCUAGAUGGAUAAGGUCUAUACACAGAGUCAUAUGCAAAAAGUGGGAAGUUUUGACAAGGUAAAGAACAUGGCUGGAGCAGCAGAAAUGUUGAUGAUUACUGAAAACAUCUGGCCUUGCACUUAGUAAACAGCACAAAGCCCACAAGGAAGCCAAUCCUUCUGUGACUUGCAGAGAGUGCAUCAAUUACUUGUUCCAAAGAGAAUGGUUAAAGAAUCUCAGAAGUCAGAAUCAUGGAGAAUCAGAAAGAAGUAGAGCUGGAAGAGACCUCCAUAUGUUAUCUAGUUCAGCACCCUACCAGAAGGAGGAUCAUUCCUAUCCACACCAUCCUGUACAAAUCCAUUGUUUAACUUAUUAGUAAAACUACUAUCAACCUUGGCAACACAAGAUAUAACACCCUAACCUGCCACAGGUAAAGCAGGGGGACCAUAAGAACCAACUGCUUCUGUAAAAGGUUGUUAAUAUAAGCUCAAGAAAUCCCAGGUAGAGGGCCAAGUGCACCACUACAGAAGUGGGCAACCCCUCCCCCCCACCCAGUCCAUACCAAUCUCAGCAUGGGGUUAAAAAAAAAAGUCCAAAGCUACUUUAGGGUACAUUUACACUGCAGCAGGAGGAGGGUACAACACACCUUAGCAGCUCACUCUCACUCACAUGCUCCAGCCCUGAAAAGAUACUUCUGAGGUCACUCCAGGGCACCUCUCUGCAGCUACAUGGCAUGCAUGAGAGUGGCACUGAGGUCAGAGAGCAGUUUCACUGGUGCACAGUUAGGUUUGGAUCAUAUGAAUGAUACCAGUGAAGAGUGUUGUCUGGGAACUGCUCAGGCAGGAAAUGCCUCAACUGUGGUGUGGAAACCACCUUAGGGUCCCCCUACAUGUGCAGGUGAAGGUACAAUGGGAUCUAGUGCAUGAUCCACACAAUCCCAUCACCUGCCAUGCUACAUAUGCAUGGCAUGAGGCGUGACUGUGGGAUUGUGCACUGGAGCCCAUUGCACCUUAUUACUGGUGAAGGGGGAGCUUGGGAUCACAAUCCUGGGCUCCCCUGCACCUGCUGCCAUGGCUGUAAGCCCCGCAGCUGCUGAGGCUUGUAGCGGGGGUAGCAUUCCUCAUGCUGCCCACUUUGUAAUGCCCACAGCUGACAUGGCCUGCAAGGCUAUCAGCAGGGGCAGUGGGGAGAAUGCUGCCACUGCUGCAAGUCCCACAGCCAACAAGGGUCCUGGAGGAGAGGGUAGAAUUUUCCCUGUGCAAGCUCCGCAGCAGAUGAGGAACGCUGCCACCACCAUGAGCCUUGUCAACUGUAAGGCUGGUAGUAGUUGGUGCACCCCUAUAGCUAGAGGACCCUCAAUUGAUGGAGCUCUCAGCCACAGGGCAGCACCUGGCCACACAUUCAAUGGCAUGACUAGAACAAGCUACAAAGUUAUUAUACUUUUUUUUUGUGUGGAAUAAAACAAACAAUAAGCCACUAAGUUAUCAUGCCAUUAAUUGGUUGAACAUGUAGCUGGGUUACAACUUAAGGCAUGAUUAACUGGUUAUUUAUGCCUUACGUGUAAUGUGUAGAAGGGACCUUAGAGUCAGGGUCAGAAUUCUCACUUAUGUAUGGAGGAAGUGUUGCUAAGCUGUUCUUCACAUAUGUGAAUUUGAACCUCAGACGCAUGCUCAGAGACAUUUCCAUUUCAGCUAGCUGCAAGUGGGCAUGUGAUCAUUUGGUCUGAGGGAUGAGAGGCACCCAGGCUUGAUACCCCAUCACUCCCUUCAGUGCUGUUCACUACAGAAACUGGGUUUUCCUUGAACCCGUCAGUGUAAUUAACCAUCUAGAACUAGCCAAAUCUUUGGCCUUUUCUUACUUGUGGACAGAAUUGUAGCUGCUAAUCCAUUUGAAAAUGAGUGUAGGAGAAGAGGUUCUGAAUAAAUGGGUUGACAUUUGACUCAGGACUGGAGCAACAUUGAAAAAAUGUGAAAUGUCAAAAAACAAAAAUAAAAUAAGAGUUCUCUAUUUGUGGGGAAAACAAGAUAUUUGACAACCCUGUCUCCAGCCAUUUGCAGUUGUUCAUACAUAUGAAAGGCAGUUUUAUUAUGAGUGGGGAACAGCUAUCCCCUUGUGGACAGAAUUCUUCUCAUGACAUCUAUGAGUCUAAUUCUCUGUAGGAAGCAGCACCACUUCACCUGGGGAAAAAUUGUUACUAACUACAGUCAGCACUGGAAUGAUCUGUUGCCAAUUUCCUGUGCACAUACUAGCCUGGACUGGAUUGUGCCAGGUCCAUAAAACCUGCACCUUGUAAGUGGCUCUGGAAGACCAAACCAAGUCUGAAGGAAUACCAGAAGAAGGCAUCUAGGUGAUACAUGGUCAUAAGGAGAACUGCACAUUGUUAUGCUCUUAUAGGUUACAUCUCACUAUUUUUUGCAUGUCCGUCUAGUUCUUUUUUCUGCUUUCUGUGGAAUACUUUAUAUCCCAAGAGACGCAGUGAAGGGGCAUAAGC